rnacentral:rRNA from 1 species
GGAAUCUUGCGCAAUGGGCGAAGGCCUGACGCAGCAACGCCGCGUGCGGGAAGAAGGCUUUCGGGCUGUAAACCGCUUUCAGCAGGAACGAAAAUGACGGUACCUGCAGAAGAAGGAGCGGCCAACUAUGUGCCAGCAGCCGCGGUGAUACAUAGGCUUCAAGCGUUGUCCGGAUUUAUUGGGCGUAAAGAGUUCGUAGGCGGUCGAGUAAGUCGGGUGUGAAAAUUCUGGGCUCAACCCAGAAACGCCACCCGAUACUGCUUAACUUGAGUUCGAUAGGGGAGUGGGGAAUUCCUAGUGUAGCGGUGAAAUGCACAGAUAUUAGGAGGAACACCGGUGGCGAAGGCGCCACUCUGGAUCGAUACUGACGCUGAGGAACGAAAGCAUGGGUAGCAAACAGGAUUAGAUACCCUGGUAGUCCAUGCCGUAAACGGUGGGCACUAGGUGUGGGAUUCUAUUAACGAAUUCCGCGCCGUCGCUAACGCAUUAAGUGCCCCGCCUGGGGAGUACGGUCGCAAGACUAAAACUCAAAUGAAUUGACGG